rnacentral:hammerhead_ribozyme from 1 species
AUCCAGUUGACGAGUCCCAAAUAGAACAAAAAGCUCGUCUUGGAU